UACAGAGGGUGCAAGCGUUAAUCGGAAUCACUGGGCGUAAAGGGUGCGUAGGCGGGUCUUUAAGUCAGGGGUGAAAUCCUGGAGCUCAACUCCAGAACUGCCUUUGAUACUGAGGAUCUUGAGUUCGGGAGAGGUGAGUGGAACUGCGAGUGUAGAGGUGAAAUUCGUAGAUAUUCGCAAGAACACCAGUGGCGAAGGCGGCUCACUGGCCCGAUACUGACGCUGAGGCACGAAAGCGUGGGGAGCAAACAGG
rnacentral:rRNA from 1 species